CCCUUAGAUGUUCUGGGCCGCACGCGCGCUACACUGAUGCAUUCAACGAGUCCAACCUUGACCGAGAGGUCCGGGUAAUCUUUGAAACUACAUCGUGAUGGGGCUAGAUUAUUGCAAUUAUUAAUCUUCAACGAGGAAUGCCUAGUAAGCGUGAUUCAUCAAAUCGCGUUGAUUACGUCCCUGCCCUUUGUACACACCGCCCGUCGCUCCUACCGAUUGAGUGUGUUGGUGAGGAGUUUGGAUUGGCCUCGGAAGGUGGUUCGCCACCGUCCGUAGCUGAGAAGUUCUCCAAACCGCCCCACUUAGAGGAAGGAGAAGUCGUAACA
rnacentral:rRNA from 1 species